GGACAGAAGGGAGCUUGCUCCCGGAUGUUAGCGGCGGACGGGUGAGUAACACGUGGGUAACCUGCCUGUAAGACUGGGAUAACUCCGGGAAACCGGAGCUAAUACCGGAUAGUUCCUUGAACCGCAUGGUUCAAGGAUGAAAGACGGUUUCGGCUGUCACUUACAGAUGGACCCGCGGCGCAUUAGCUAGUUGGUGAGGUAACGGCUCACCAAGGCGACGAUGCGUAGCCGACCUGAGAGGGUGAUCGGCCACACUGGGACUGAGACACGGCCCAGACUCCUACGGGAGGCAGCAGUAGGGAAUCUUCCGCAAUGGACGAAAGUCUGACGGAGCAACGCCGCGUGAGUGAUGAAGGUUUUCGGAUCGUAAAGCUCUGUUGUUAGGGAAGAACAAGUGCAAGAGUAACUGCUUGCACCUUGACGGUACCUAACCAGAAAGCCACGGCUAAGCUACGUGCCAGCAGCCGCGGUAAUACGUAGGUGGCAAGCGUUGUCCGGAAUUAUUGGGCGUAAAGGGCUCGCAGGCGGUUUCUUAAGUCUGAUGUGAAAGCCCCCGGCUCAACCGGGGAGGGUCAUUGGAAACUGGGAAACUUGAGUGCAGAAGAGGAGAGUGGAAUUCCACGUGUAGCGGUGAAAUGCGUAGAGAUGUGGAGGAACACCAGUGGCGAAGGCGACUCUCUGGUCUGUAACUGACGCUGAGGAGCGAAAGCGUGGGGAGCGAACAGGAUUAGAUACCCUGGGUAGUCCACGCCGUAACGAUUGAGUGCUAAGUGUUUAGGGGGUUUCCCGCCCCUUAGUGCUGCAGCUAACGCAUUAAGCACUCCGCCUGGGGAGUACGGUCGCAAGACUGAACUCAAGGAAUUGACGGGGGGCCCGCACAAGCGGUGGAGCAUGUGUUUUAUUUCGAAGCAACGCGAAAGAAACCUUAACCAGGUCUUUGACAUCCUCUGACAACCCUAGAGAAUAGGGCUUUCCCCUUCGGGGACAGAAGUGACAGGGGG
rnacentral:rRNA from 1 species